rnacentral:rRNA from 1 species
AUGAUUCCAGCAGGGCGACAAGCCAUAGCAUAUGUCGGUCUGGCGUGUAUCAUCGGAUUCGUGUUGAUCCGUCGCUUCGCACUGCGCCAUGUCGCUCCCGUCGUCGGGGCCCACCACACCGCCCGCUCUCCUCAGUCUACCUUAUCCCUCAAUGUGUUUCCAUGGCUCCUCUGCCUCGCUCUGCGCCACACACCACAACCCUCCAACCCCUCCCCCCAACGUCUCAUCGGAGUUGGCCUCCGACAACCCGGAGUCAAUCUCCCCUGCGCGUGCUGUUGUGGUUCUAAGUCUGACAGUAGUGUAGGGGGGUAA